UACGAAGGGGGCUAGCGUUGCUCGGAAUCACUGGGCGUAAAGGGUGCGUAGGCGGUCUCGCAAGUCUGGCGUGAAAGCCCAAGGCUCAGCCUUGGAAGUGCGCUCGAAACGGCGAGGCUGGAGUGCCGGAGGGGAGAGUGGAAUUCCUGGUGUAGCGGUGAAAUGCGCAGAUAUCAGGAAGAACACCCGUGGCGAAGGCGGGUCUCUGGGCCGAUACUGACGCUGAGGAGCGAAAGCGUGGGGAGCGAACAGG
rnacentral:rRNA from 1 species